rnacentral:ncRNA from 1 species
UCAAAAGCGAUGAUGAGAUGAGUAAGGGAAAAUGUUCUUACACAGAGAGCUCCGGAAGCUGAAAAGGAGUCAAGAGCUUUCCCCCGAACCAAGCCUCUGAGCAGUGCGUCGGAACCUUCGAUGGGGAUGGCGUGACGGGAGCUCCCGUUAUAGAGCUAAAGUAUAAGCAUUGUCUGCAAUGCCGUACUUGAUGAGGUUAAUAUGGCGACAUAUUAAUGAAGCUGGGGUGGUACCGCGAAAAUUUCGUCCCCGAG